CCUACGGGUGGCAGCAGUGAGGAAUAUUGGUCAAUGGGAGAGAUCCUGAACCAGCCAAGCCGCGUGAGGGAAGACGGUCCUAUGGGUUGUAAACCUCUUUUGUCGGAGAACAAAACACGGGACGCGUCCCGGUCCGCGAGUAUCCGAAGAAAAAGCAUCGGCUAACUCCGUGCCAGCAGCCGCGGUAAUACGGAGGAUGCGAGCGUUAUCCGGAUUUAUUGGGUUUAAAGGGUGCGUAGGCGGACCGUGAAGUCAGCGGUAAAAUUGAGGGGCUCAACCCCGUCGAGCCGUUGAAACUGGUUGACGUGAGUGGGCGAGAAGUACGCGGAAUGCGCGGUGUAGCGGUGAAAUGCAUAGAUAUCGCGCAGAACUCCGAUUGCGAAGGCAGCGUACCGGCGCCAGACUGACGCUGAGGCACGAAAGUGUGGGGAUCGAACAGGAUUAGAUACCCUAGUAGUC
rnacentral:rRNA from 1 species